rnacentral:rRNA from 1 species
GACGAACCGUGCGAACGUUAUUCGGAAUCACUGGGCUUAAAGCGCGUGUAGGCGGGCCGGCACGUCGGUCGCUGAAAUCCCCCGGCUCAACCGGGGAACGGGCACCGAUACGACCGUCCUGGAGGGACGUAGGGGGACCUGGAACUUCCGGUGGAGCGGUGAAAUGCGUUGAGAUCGGAAGGAACGCCCGUGGCGAAAGCGAGGUCCUGGACGUUUUCUGACGCUGAGACGCGAAAGCCAGGGGAGCGAACGGG